CCUACGGGUUGCACCAGUGGGGAAUCUUGGACAAUGGGCGAAAGCCCGAUCCAGCAAUAUCGCGUGAGUGAAGAAGGGCAAUGCCGCUUGUAAAGCUCUUUCGUCGAGUGCGCGAUCAUGACAGGACUCGAGGAAGAAGCCCCGGCUAACUUCGUGCCAGCAGCCGCGGUAAUACGAAGGGGGCUAGCGUUGCUCGGAAUGACUGGGCGUAAAGGGCGCGUAGGCGGUUUAUGCAGUCAGAUGUGAAAUCCCCGGGCUUAACCUGGGAACUGCAUUUGAGACGCAUAGACUAGAGGUCGAGAGAGGGUUGUGGAAUUCCCAGUGUAGAGGUGAAAUUCGUAGAUAUUGGGAAGAACACCGGUGGCGAAGGCGGCAACCUGGCUCGAUACUGACGCUGAGGCGCGAAAGCGUGGGGAGCAAACAGGAUUAGAUACCCGUGUAGUC
rnacentral:rRNA from 1 species